rnacentral:snoRNA from 1 species
AACACUCGAGGCUCCUAACCCGGCCGACCUCAACACUGGUCUGAGUGGUUUAAAGGUUGAAAAGUACAAUUUAAAUUGUUUUACAUUAUUUUGUGACAUAGAAGCUAGUUUCAAACCAAU